AGAGUGAACGCUGGCGGUAGGCCUAACACAUGCAAGUCGAACGGCAGCACAGUAGGAGCUUGCUCUUACGGGUGGCGAGUGGCGGACGGGUGAGGAAUACAUCGGAAUCUACCUUUUUGGUGGGGGAUAACGUAGGGAAACUUACGCUAAUACCGCAUACGCCCUUCGGGGAAAGCCGGGACCAGCAAUGGCCUGGCGCUGAUAGAUGAGCCGAUGUCGGAUUAGCUAGUUGGUGAGGUAAUGGCUCACCAAAGGCGACGAUCCGUAGCUGGUCUGAGAGGAUGAUCAGCCACACUGGAACUGAGACACGGUCAGACUCCUACGGGAGGCAGCAGUGGGAAUAUUGGACAAUGGGCGCAAGCCUGAUCCAGCCAUAACCGCGUGGUGAAGAAAGGCCUGGUGUAAGACCUUGUUAGGUAAGUAAAAGACAAUUCGUAAUACCGGUACGUUCUGACGUACCGAAACGAAUAAGACACGACCGUAAUUACCGACGCCACGCACG
rnacentral:rRNA from 1 species